GAUUACAUUCAUGGUCAAUAAUAUUAAAUUUGGAAGUGAUUUAAUGUAUAUGUGGAACUUUUAUUGAGUCUUGUGCGCAACAUUUUUAUAUUUUUUAACAAAAUAAUGUAAGAAACGAGAUGUCCAGUUUUUGACAAUCCGACUUAGCACGGUAUAGGUUAGAGUAGAGGAAUAUUUACAAGGUGGUCAUUAAGAUACCAGGGGAUCAUUCAUCCACGUAUUGCAUGUAAUAGGACAAAAGAUACAAUAAUAUUGCCUAAUUAUGCAAAUGUACUGGUUUGUUUUGUUUCAUUAGUAGUGCAUGAGUGCUUGACAAUACGGCAUGACAUGGUGCGUAUCAUUCUCAUUGCAAAGUAAUAUCUGUCUAUUUACCGCAGUAAGAGGAGUAUAUAAUACAGUUUUAUUAAUAAAUAAUUAAGUUGCAGCCAAAAUCAAAUGUUUGAUAUAUUUAACAUUAUUUGGUAAGUAGUUUUGUGUAUUAAAGGUAUAUUACUAUCGCUGUGAAAUCUAUUCACAUCUACCAUUUCUACAGCCUCCAAUUGAUUUCAGCGGUUCUCAUCACCAAUUAUUGUGUAUCACAAUAAUUAUUUGUAACAUUUGACAGGUACAGGUUAGAGAGAAAAAUAUUUGGAAAUUGAAUGCCGUUACUUUCUUACAAGACAUAUCUGGAAGUAUGUUUAAGCAUUCAUUCAGACAUUGAUGAGGAAAUUACAAGCAAAAAAUUAUGGAGUACAAAAGUUGAAUAGAUACAUUAAAGAAAUUCAGCAGUGUGGAAUGAAAUACUAGGACAAAUAACAAAAACGUACUCUGCAAACAGAUGCAAUUACUUUCUCGCAGGAUAUAUGUGGAAAUAUAUUUGAGCAUUCAUUCAGACAUUGAUGAGGAAAUUACAACCAAAAAAUGAUGGAGUAAAAAAUUUGAAUAGAUACAUUAAAGAAAUUAAGCAGCGUGGAAUGAAAUACUAGGACAAAUAACAAAAACGUACUUUGCAAACAGAUGCAAUUACUUUCUUGUAUGAUAUAUCUGGAAAUAUGUUUUAGCAUUCAUUCAGACAUUGAUGAGGGAAUUACAAUCAAAAAAUUAUGGAAUAGAAAAGUUGAAUAGAUCCAUUCAGGAAAUGAAGGACAUGUAUGCAUUUGUUGCAGUAUGUUAAUAAAAACAUACUACGGAUAGUUCAAAUUUUUUAUGCAUAUUUAAUAAGUGAAAAUAAAGAUAUAAUACUAAAUAAAAAUAA